AUUGAACGCUGGCGGCAGGCCUAACACAUGCAAGUCGAGCGGAUGAAGGGAGCUUGCUCCUGGCUUCAGCGGAGGACGGGUGAGUAAUGCCUAGGAAUCUGCCUGGUAGUGGGGGAUAACGUCCGGAAACGGGCGCUAAUACCGCAUACGUCCUGAGGGAGAAAGUGGGGGAUCUUCGGACCUCACGCUAUCAGCUGAGCCUAGGUCGGAUUAGCUAGUUGGUGGGGUAAAGGCCUACCAAGGCGACGAUCCGUAACUGGUCUGAGAGGAUGAUCAGUCACACUGGAACUGAGACACGGUCCAGACUCCUACGGGAGGCAGCAGUGGGGAAUAUUGGACAAUGGGCGAAAGCCUGAUCCAGCCAUGCCGCGUGUGUGAAGAAGGUCUUCGGAUUGUAAAGCACUUUAAGUUGGGAGGAAGGGCAGUAAGUUAAUACCUUGCUGUUUUGACGUUACCAACAGAAUAAGCACCGGCUAACUUCGUG
rnacentral:rRNA from 1 species